GUGGGGAAUAUUGGGCAAUGGGCGCAAGCCUGACCCAGCAACGCCGCGUGAGGGAAGAAGGUCUUCGGAUUGUAAACCUCUGUCGCAAGGGACGAAGGCGUGACGGUACCUUGUGAGGAAGCCCCGGCUAACUACGUGCCAGCAGCCGCGGUAAUACGUAGGGGGCGAGCGUUGUCCGGAAUUACUGGGCGUAAAGGGUGCGUAGGCGGUUGCUUAAGUUGGAUGUGAAAUACCCGGGCUUAACUUGGGGGGUGCAUUCAAAACUGGGCGACUAGAGUUCAGGAGAGGGAAGCGGAAUUCCUAGUGUAGCGGUGAAAUGCGUAGAUAUUAGGAGGAACACCAGUGGCGAAGGCGGCUUUCUGGACUGACACUGACGCUGAGGCACGAAAGCGUGGGGAGCAAACAGGA
rnacentral:rRNA from 1 species